rnacentral:rRNA from 1 species
AUGAAUUCGCCGCCGCCGCAACGCAGCCGCCACACGCUGGUCGACGACGCCAUCCGCGAGAUUUUGCUCCGCAUCCCGCCGGAUGAGCCGGCGAGCCUCGUCCGCGCCUCCGCCGUCUGCACCACCUGGCUCGAAAUCAUCUCAGACCCCGCCUUCUUCCGCGACUACCGCGCUUUCCACGGGGCGCCCCCGGUGUUGGGCUACCUCCACAACAAAUCCUACGAAAGCCAUGGCGUCGCCCGAUUCGACCCCACCGGAGCCUUCUGCCCGCUGGUUCGCGACCGCCGCAACUGGCACGCGGCCGACUCCCGCCAUGGCCCCGCGUCCUCUUCUACACACCCAGAGAGAAGCACGCGGAUUUCGUCGUCUGGGACCCCAUCACGGACCGCCGGUGGGGGCUUCUCACCGACCCCAAGCUGUCGGAGAUAA